rnacentral:rRNA from 1 species
UUAAAAAGCUCGUAGUUGGAUUUCGGAGUGGGCCAGUUGGUCCGCCGCAAGGUGUGUUACUGACUGGUUUGCUCUUCUUCGCAAAGACUGCGUGUGCUCUUCAGUGAGUGUGCGUAGGAUUUACGACGUUUACUUUGAAAAAAUUAGAGUGUUCAAAGCAGGCUAUUGCUUGAAUACAUGAGCAUGGAAUAAUGGAAUAGGACUUUGGUCCCAUUUUGUUGGUUUCUAGGGCCGAAGUAAUGAUUAAGAGGGACAAUUGGGGGCAUCCGUAUUUCGUUGUCAGAGGUGAAAUUCUUGGAUUUACGAAAGACGAACAACUGCGAAAGCACUUGCCAAGAGUGUUUUCAUUAAUCAAGAACGAAAGUUAGAGGAUCGAAGACGAUCAGAUACCGUCCUAGUUCUAACCAUAAACGAUGUCGACUAGGGAUCAGCGGGCGUUAUCGUACGACCCCGUUGGCACCUUACGGGAAACCAAAGUUUCUGGAUUCCGGGGGGAGUAUGGUUGCAAAGCUGAAACUUAAAGGAAUUGACGGAAGGGCACCACCAGGAGUGGAGCCUGUGGCUC